AUUGAACGCUGGCGGCAGGCCUAACACAUGCAAGUCGAACGAGUGGCGGACGGGUGAGUAAUGUCUGGGACACUGCCUGGUGGAGGGCGAUCACUACUGGAAACUGUUGCCACUUCCGCCUACCUUCGGAUGGGCCCAGGUGGGAUUAGCUUGUUGGUGGGGCAAAGGCCCACCACGGCGACGAUCCCUACCUGGUCUGAGAGGAUGCCCAGCCACACUGGAACUGAGACACGGUCCAGACUCCUACGGGAGGCAGCAGUGGGGAAUAUUGGACAAUGGGCGAAAGCCUGAUGCAGCCAUGCCGCGUGUGUGAAGAAGGCCUUCGGGUUGUAAAGUACUUUCAGUGGGGAGGCGUUACCCGCAGAAUAAGCACCGGCUAACUCCGUGCCAGCCGCCGCGGUAAUUC
rnacentral:rRNA from 1 species